rnacentral:rRNA from 1 species
UACGUAGGAUGCAAGCGUUGUCCGGAAUUAUUGGGCGUAAAGAGCGCGCAGGCGGUAACUCAAGUCAGAUGUGAAAUAUCCGGGCUUAACCCGGAGGGGUCAUUUGAAACUGAGUAACUAGAGUACAGCAGAGGAUAGCGGAAUUCCCGGUGUAGUGGUGAAAUGCGUAGAUAUCGGGAGGAACACCAGUGGCGAAGGCGGCUAUCUGGGCUGAAACUGACGCUGAGGUGCGAAAGCGUGGGGAGCAAACAGG